CUAGGAGAUACACCUGUACCCAUGCCGAACACAGCAGUUAAGCCCUAGAACGCCUGAAGUAGUUGGGGGUUGCCCCCCUGUUAGAUACGGUAGUCGCUUAGC
rnacentral:rRNA from 1 species